rnacentral:tRNA from 1 species
GCUCUAGUGGUGCAAUUGAUUAGCACACAGUACUUAUAAUGAUGAGGUUGUGAGUUCAAGCCUCACCUAGAGCA